rnacentral:rRNA from 1 species
GAUGAACGCUGGCGGCGUGCCUAAUACAUGCAAGUCGAGCGAACGGACGAGAAGCUUGCUUCUCUGAUGUUAGCGGCGGACGGGUGAGUAACACGUGGAUAACCUACCUAUAAGACUGGGAUAACUUCGGGAAACCGGAGCUAAUACCGGAUAAUAUUUUGAACCGCAUGGUGCAAAAGUGAAAGACGGUCUUGCUGUCACUUAUAGAUGGAUCCGCGCUGCAUUAGCUAGUUGGUAAGGUAACGGCUUACCAAGGCAACGAUGCAUAGCCGACCUGAGAGGGUGAUCGGCCACCCUAGAACUGAGACACGGUCCAGACUCCUAAGGGAGGCCGCAGUAGGGAAUCUGCCGCAAUGGGCGAAAGCCUGACGGAGCAACGCCGCGUGAGUGAUGAAGGUCUUCGGAUCGUAAAACUCUGUUAUUAGGGAAGAACAUAUGUGUAAUUAACUGUGCACAUCUUGACGGUACCUAAUAAGAAAGCCCCGGCUAACUACGUG